GCUCAUCUGCGGUGGGGAGAGGGCCGGGGGCAGUGAGAGGCCGUCUGCAUCCACUUGUGCUUUCAGCUCCCAGGGUAGGGACUGGGGAAGAACCUCACCGUGAUCCACCUUAUAGCGCAGCUUCUGGAUGGUGGCCAGGUUCCCACUGAUGCGGUACAGCCCGUCCAUGUCCAGCCCUGCGAGAAAGGGGUCUCCACUCUUUCGCUCCUAGUAGCGGACCAUGAAACGCUGCCCUGUCUGCGCAUGUGUACAUACCCCGGGCCUCGACGGUGCGGAUGCAUUGCUGCACGAAGCGUGGCACAGGGCUCCUCUCGCGCUCACACAGUUCAGCCAGUGCACAUCCAAACACCUGGUCUGGGGGAAGAGAUUGGUCAGCGCCGCCCAGCCCCGUGCCACCUUAGCUCGGGUCCCGGAGAGUUGCAGGUACCUUUGAUGUAGCCCUUGUCCCGCAGAGACUGCAGAGUGGGUCGUCUCUGUAGGAAUUUGCGGAGCUUGUGCCGAACCCUGCUCAAGUCGCUUUCCAGGCCUCCGGGACUCAGCGAGGGUGAGGCUGCCACAGACCGAACCAGUGAGUAGGUGGCAGGGGUAGAUAUGGGCUCUAGACCUUAGCCAGGACAUCAUUUCCCACCCCGCAGAGGGGACUCUUUGGUCGGCUCCCCACCUGACCCUCUGCACACCUGCACUCUGCCGCACGUCCUCCUCCCUCCAGCUGCCGAGGCGCUCACUGGACCCGAAGUCAACUCUGCCGGGCUCACCUUCCUCCCUCUGGAGCAUGUCUGCAGACUGGAAUCACACAGCCUCAGAGAAGCAAGGCCUGGGGCCUGCUGGGGCCUGUCCCAAGCAGUUCCGGCCUGAAGCCAUCCCAGGAAGAGCCUGCUUUCUCUUAGCAGGCCAUCUUCAGCAGCCUCCCGGGUCCUGGCCUCCCCACUUCUUCACUCAGCUCUCUACAUCCCACUUGGUUGGCUCCGGCUCAUGAACUUGCAGACCACUGCUGAUCACACCAACAUUGCCUCCUGCCUGAGUCUGGAUUCCCAUUUUCAUCAAUACCCAGUGCCAACUCAUAUGGAAAUUAAUACUAGCAGGCCACUGCCAGAUAAAUAGCUGUUGACUUUGUCACAGCUGGGGAUCAGACUCAGGACCAUUUGCAUUCUAGACACGUCCUCUGUCACUAAGCUAUGUAUCCACAAUGCAUGACCAGGGCUAUGGCUCAAUGGCAAAGCA